rnacentral:lncRNA from 1 species
AAAAGAGUCUCGAUCCAUAGAGAAAAAAUCCUAUGGGUUAAAAUGCUACCAAAAUCCUAUGAAAAUCCCUCAAUCUAAGGAGACCCUUAACACUUCCCACACCACUACGGCUCUACCUGCUUCACCCAUAUCGCAGAGAGUUGUUCUAAUAUGACACAAUCAACUGCGCCACAAGGCAAAAUAAUCGACGAAAAAAAAAACAGCGUUCAGGAGAGCGUGCCAGGCGAGCACCCAGCUAUUAGUCCUGUACUAAACCCAACAAAAUUGCAGCUAAAUGCAUGCUGCGAGCACUAGAUCAGUGGCGGACCCAGGAUGAAUUUGAACGUGUGGCGUAGCUUACAGAACAAAAAAUCAUAUGCAAUACGAAAAUGCAAAAGUUCACUGGAAUAAUAGGCAUCUAGUACUUUGUGUUCGACAUGUACAGUAAAUUACAAAAAUAAAAUACUGGAGUUCAAAAUACCUCGACAAAUGAAACUAAGGUGGACGACCAUCGACUCGUCACCAAUUUAUAAUCUAUUAAUUAGAAGGGUAUAGAAUUGAUCUGCAAAACAUUAAAAUCAUAAAAAAAUAUGAAUUAGCAACUAGUAGUGUCAAAGGGUGGAUUAGCAGCCUUGCCAAAGAAGCUCUUUAUAUCUGAAUAGGCGGCAUCUUGGUCAUCUUGGUCAGGGAACUGAUCUUGGCGAAGAAAAAUCUUUAUCUGCGUCAAGACUCAGGACUGAUCUGCGCGGGCGUCCUCCUCUCCGCCCGUCCGCGUGCAGCUUGCUGCUGCUGUGCCGGGCUGCCGGCAGACUGCGGGCUGCGGCAGUCCUGCCGCCGCCCUGAUUUUCGGCCAAGAAGGAAGAUUGGAGUCAUUUCACGGCAGGGGGAGGAGACGAGGACAGAUGGGAAUCGAUCCGGAACAGGCGGCCGCUGUAUCGAUCAAUCUUCGCUAGG